ACGAACGCUGGCGGCACGCUUAACACAUGCAAGUCGAACGAGAGAAGAGGAGCUUGCUUUUCUGAUCUAGUGGCGGACGGGUGAGUAACACGUGAGCAAUCUGCCUUUCAGAGGGGGAUACCGAUUGGAAACGAUCGUUAAUACCGCAUAACAUAAUUGAACCGCAUGAUUUGAUUAUCAAAGAUUUAUCGCUGAAAGAUGAGCUCGCGUCUGAUUAGCUAGUUGGUAAGGUAACGGCUUACCAAGGCGACGAUCAGUAGCCGGACUGAGAGGUUGAUCGGCCACAUUGGGACUGAGACACGGCCCAGACUCCUACGGGAGGCAGCAGUGGGGAAUAUUGCACAAUGGAGGAAACUCUGAUGCAGCGAUGCCGCGUGAGGGAAGAAGGUUUUAGGAUUGUAAACCUCUGUCUUCAGGGACGAAAAAAGACGGUACCUGAGGAGGAAGCUCCGGCUAACUACGUGCCAGCAGCCGCGGUAAUACGUAGGGAGCGAGCGUUGUCCGGAAUUACUGGGUGUAAAGGGAGCGUAGGCGGGAUCGCAAGUCAGAUGUGAAAACUAUGGGCUUAACCCAUAAACUGCAUUUGAAACUGUGGUUCUUGAGUGAAGUAGAGGUAAGCGGAAUUCCUAGUGUAGCGGUGAAAUGCGUAGAUAUUAGGAGGAACAUCAGUGGCGAAGGCGGCUUACUGGGCUUUAACUGACGCUGAGGCUCGAAAGCGUGGGGAGCAAACAGGAUUAGAUACCCUGGUAGUCCACGCCGUAAACGAUGAUUACUAGGUGUGGGGGGACUGACCCCUUCCGUGCCGCAGCAAACGCAAUAAGUAAUCCACCUGGGGAGUACGACCGCAAGGUUGAAACUCAAAGGAAUUGACGGGGGCCCGCACAAGCAGUGGAGUAUGUGGAUUAAUUCGAAGCAACGCGAAGAACCUUACCAGGUCUUGACAUCGUAUGCAUAGCUCAGAGAUGAGUGAAAUCUCUUCGGAGACAUAUAGACAGGUGGUGCAUGGUUGUCGUCAGCUCGUGUCGUGAGAUGUUGGGUUAAGUCCCGCAACGAGCGCAACCCUUACUGUUAGUUGCUACGCAAGAGCACUCUAGCAGGACUGCCGUUGACAAAACGGAGGAUGGUGGGGAUGACGUCAAAUCAUCAUGCCCCUUAUGACCUGGGCCUCACACGUACUACAAUGGCUGUCAACAGAGGGAUGCAAAGCCGCGAGGUGGAGCGAACCCCUAAAAGCAGUCUUAGUUCGGAUUGUAGGCUGCAACCCGCCUACAUGAAGUCGGAAUUGCUAGUAAUCGCAGAUCAGCAUGCUGCGGUGAAUACGUUCCCGGGCCUUGUACACACCGCCCGUCACGCCAUGGGAGUCGGUAACACCCGAAGCCUGUAGUCUAACCGCAAGGAGGACGCAGUCGAAGGUGGGAUUGAUGACUGGGGUG
rnacentral:rRNA from 1 species